ACGUAGGGUGCAAGCGUUGUCCGGAAUUAUUGGGCGUAAAGAGCUCGUAGGCGGUCUGUCGCGUCGGCUGUGAAAACUCGGGGCUCAACCCCGAGCCUGCAGUCGAUACGGGCAGACUAGAGUGCUGUAGGGGAGACUGGAAUUCCUGGUGUAGCGGUGAAAUGCGCAGAUAUCAGGAGGAACACCGGUGGCGAAGGCGGGUCUCUGGGCAGUAACUGACGCUGAGGAGCGAAAGCGUGGGGAGCAAACAGG
rnacentral:rRNA from 1 species